UAACACAUGCAAGUCGAGGGGCAGCACGGGUAGCAAUACCUGUCAGCGACCGGCGCAAGGGUGCGUAACGCGUGAGCAACAUGCCCGUAUCAGGGGGAUAAUCCAGGGAAACUUGGUCUAAUACCCCAUAGUAAUCUUAGGAGGCAUCUUUUAAGAUUUAAAGCUUUGGUGGAUACGGAUUGGCUCGCGUGACAUUAGCUAGAUGGUAAGGUAACGGCUCACCAAGCCGACGAUCAGUAGGGGUUCUGAGAGGAUUAUCCCCCACACUGGUACUGAGACACGGACCAGACUCCUACGGGAGGCAGCAGUGAGGAAUAUUGGUCAAUGGGCGGAAGCCUGAACCAGCCAUGCCGCGUGCAGGAAGACGGCCCUAUGGGUUGUAAACUGCUUUUAUACGGGAGCAAUAAGGUCUAUGCGUAGGCCGAUGAGAGUACCGUAGGAAUAAGCACCGGCUAACUCCGUGCCAGCAGCCGCGGUAAUACGGAGGGUGCAAGCGUUAUCCGGAUUUAUUGGGUUUAAAGGGUGCGUAGGCGGUCUAUUAAGUCAGCGGUGAAAGUUUUCAGCUUAACUGGAAAAAUGCCGUUGAUACUGAUAGGCUAGAAUAUGGUUGCUGUGGGUGGAAUGUGUGGUGUAGCGGUGAAAUGCUUAGAUAUCACACAGAAUAUCAAUUGCGAAGGCAGCUCACAAAGCCAUUAUUGACGCUGAGGCACGAAAGUGUGGGGAUCAAACAGGAUUAGAUACCCUGGUAGUCCACGCCGUAAACGAUGAUAACUGGUUGUUGGGUCUUUACUGACUCAGUAACGAAGCUAACGCGUGAAGUUGACCGCCUGGGGAGUACGACCGCAAGGUUGAAACUCAAAGGAAUUGACGGGGGCCCGCACAAGCGGAGGAACAUGUGGUUUAAUUCGAUGAUACGCGAGGAACCUUACCCGGGCUCGAACGGUGCAUGAAUAAUUCAGAGAUGGAUUAGUCCUUCGGGACAUGUAUCGAGGUGCUGCAUGGUUGUCGUCAGCUCGUGCCGUGAGGUGUCGGGUUAAGUCCCAUAACGAGCGCAACCCUUAUCGUUAGUUGCCAGCGGGUUAAGCCGGGGACUCUAGCGAGACUGCCACCGUAAGGUGAGAGGAAGGUGGGGAUGACGUCAAAUCAGCACGGCCCUUAUGUCCAGGGCUACACACGUGUUACAAUGGCCGAUACAAAGGGCAGCUACUCCGCGAGGAGAUGCUAAUCUCUAAAGUCGGUCCCAGUUCGGAUUGGAGUCUGCAACCCGACUCCAUGAAGUUGGAUUCGCUAGUAAUCGCAUAUCAGCCAUGGCGCGGUGAAUACGUUCCCGGGCCU
rnacentral:rRNA from 1 species